CGUACACUCCUGCGGGAGGCAGCAGUGGGGAAUAUUGGACAAUGGGCGCAAGCCUGAUCCAGCCAUGCCGCGUGAGUGAUGAAGGCCCUAGGGUUGUAAAGCUCUUUCACCGGUGAAGAUAAUGACGGUAACCGGAGAAGAAGCCCCGGCUAACUUCGUGCCAGCAGCCGCGGUAAUACGAAGGGGGCUAGCGUUGUUCGGAUUUACUGGGCGUAAAGCGCACGUAGGCGGACUAUUAAGUCAGGGGUGAAAUCCCGGGGCUCAACCCCGGAACUGCCUUUGAUACUGGUAGUCUUGAGUUCGAGAGAGGUGAGUGGAAUUCCGAGUGUAGAGGUGAAAUUCGUAGAUAUUCGGAGGAACACCAGUGGCGAAGGCGGCUCACUGGCUCGAUACUGACGCUGAGGUGCGAAAGCGUGGGGAGCAAACAGGAUUAGAAACCCCUGUAGUCCCA
rnacentral:rRNA from 1 species